GUCGAGAAUUUUUCACAAUGGGCGAAAGCCUGAUGGAGCGACGCCGCGUGGGGGAUGAAUGGCUUCGGCCCGUAAACCCCUGUCAUUCGCGAGCAAACCUGUUCCGUGAACAGCGGAACAGCUGAUCGUAGCGAAAGAGGAAGGGACGGCUAACUCUGUGCCAGCAGCCGCGGUAAUACAGAGGUCCCAAGCGUUGUUCGGAUUUACUGGGCGUAAAGGGUGCGUAGGUGGCGGGGUAAGUUCGAUGUGAAAUCUCCGGGCCCAACUCGGAAAUGGCAUUGAAUACUAUCUUGCUCGAGGGUUGGAGGGGGGACUGGAAUUCUCGGUGUAGCAGUGAAAUGCGUAGAUAUCGAGAGGAACACCAGUGGCGAAGGCGAGUCCCUGGACAACUCCUGACACUGAGGCACGAAAGCUAGGGGAGCAAACAGGAUUAGAUACCCGAGUAGUCC
rnacentral:rRNA from 1 species